rnacentral:rRNA from 1 species
AGAGUUUGAUCCUGGCUCAGGAUGAACGUUGGCGGUGUGCCUAAUACAUGCAAGUCGAACGAAGUUGAUAGCGAUAUUAGCUUAGUGGCGAACGGGUGAGUAACGCGUUGGUGAUCUGCCUUGAAGUGUGGAAUAACGUUUCGAAAGGAACGCUAAUACCGCAUGUGCUCUCGAUUUUCAGAAAGUUGAGAGUAAAGGAUUUAUUCGCUUCAAGAGGAGCCUGCGUCCCAUCAGCUGGUUGGUAGGGUAACGGCCUACCAAGGCUACGACGGGUAGGGGACCUGAGAGGGUGACCCCCCACAAUGGAACUGAAACACGGUCCAUACACCUACGGGUGGCAGCAGUAGGGAAUAUUGGUAAUCUGGGAAACCGGGAACCAGCAACGCCGCGUGCGCGAUGACGGCCUUCGGGUUGUAAAGCGCUUUUUAAAGGGAUGAGGAAGGACAGUACCUUUAGAAUAAGCCUCGGCUAACUACGUGCCAGCAGCCCGCGGUAAUA